AGUGAACGCUGGCGGUAGGCCUAACACAUGCAAGUCGAACGGCAGCACAGUAAGAGCUUGCUCUUACGGGUGGCGAGUGGCGGACGGGUGAGGAAUACAUCGGAAUCUACUUUUUCGUGGGGGAUAACGUAGGGAAACUUACGCUAAUACCGCAUACGACCUACGGGUGAAAGCAGGGGAUCUUCGGACCUUGCGCGAUUGAAUGAGCCGAUGUCGGAUUAGCUAGUUGGCGGGGUAAAGGCCCACCAAGGCGACGAUCCGUAGCGGGUCUGAGAGGAUGGUCAGCCAACAGGGAACUAAGAACCGGCCCAAAUCCCACAGGGGGGAAGCGGGGGGGAUAUUUGGAAAAGGGGGGAAAGCCUGACCCAGCCAUACCGGGGGGGUGAAGAAGGCCUUCGGGUUGGAAAGCCCUUUUGUUGGGAAAAAAAAGCAGCAGGUUAAUACCCCGCUGUUCGGACGGUACCCAAAAAAUAAACACCGGCAAACUUCGU
rnacentral:rRNA from 1 species